rnacentral:rRNA from 1 species
AUUGAACGCUGGCGGCAGGCCUAACACAUGCAAGUCGAGCGAGAGGCGGAGGGGUGAGUAAUGUCUGGGAAACUGCCUGAUGGAAGGGGAUAACAAAUGGAUACGGUAGCUAAUACGGCAUAACAUCGGAUGUGGCCAGAGGGGAUUAGCUCGUGGGUGGGGUAACGGCUCACCUAGGCGACGAUCCCUAGCUGGUCGGAGAGGAUGACCAGCCACACUGGAACUGAGACACGGUCCAGACUCCUACGGGAGGCAGCAGUGGGGAAUAUUGCACAAUGGGCGCAAGUCUGAUGCAGCCAUGCCGCGUGUGUGAAGAAGGCCUUCGGGUUGUAAAGCACUUUCAGCGGGGAGGCGUUACCCGCAGAAGAAGCACCGGCUAACUACGUGCCAGCAGCCGCGGUAAUAC